rnacentral:tRNA from 1 species
GCGCCCGUAGCUCAGUGGAUUAGAGUACCUGGCUACGAACCAGGGGGUCGGAGGUUCGAAUCCUUCCGGGCGCG